rnacentral:rRNA from 1 species
CAGCAGCCGCGGUAAUACGUAGGUGGCAAGCGUUGUCCGGAAUUAUUGGGCGUAAAGGGCUCGCAGGCGGUUUCUUAAGUCUGAUGUGAAAGCCCCCGGCUCAACCGGGGAGGGUCAUUGGAAACUGGGAAACUUGAGUGCUGAAGAGGAGAGUGGAAUUCCACGUGUAGCGGUGAAAUGCGUAGAGAUGUGGAGGAACACCAGUGGCGAAGGCGACUCUCUGGUCUGUAACUGACGCUGAGGAGCGAAAGCGUGGGGAGCGAACAGGAUUAGAUACCCCUGUAGUCCCUGUCUCUUAUAC